GAUGAACGCUGGCGGCGUGCCUAAUACAUGCAAGUCGAGCGAACAGACGAGGAGCUUGCUCCUCUGACGUUAGCGGCGGACGGGUGAGUAACACGUGGAUAACCUACCUAUAAGACUGGGAUAACUUCGGGAAACCGGAGCUAAUACCGGAUAAUAUAUUGAACCGCAUGGUUCAAUAGUGAAAGACGGUUUUGCUGUCACUUAUAGAUGGAUCCGCGCCGCAUUAGCUAGUUGGUAAGGUAACGGCUUACCAAGGCAACGAUGCGUAGCCGACCUGAGAGGGGGAUCGGCCACACUGGAACUGAGACACGGUCCAGAGUCCGACGGGAGGCAGCAGGAGGGAAUCUUCCGAAAUGGGCGAAAGCUUGACGGAGCAACGCCGCGUGAGUGAUGAAGGUCUUCGGAUCGUAAAACGCUGUUAUUAGGGAAGAACAAAUGUGUAAGUAACUAUGCACGUCUGGACGGUACCUAAUCAGAAAGCCACGGCUAAUUACGU
rnacentral:rRNA from 1 species